rnacentral:rRNA from 1 species
UACGUAGGGUGCAAGCGUUUAAUCGGAAUUACUGGGCGUAAAGCGUGCGCAGGCGGUUCGUUGUGUCGGCGGUGAAAGCCCCGGGCUUAACCUGGGAAUGGCCGUUGAAACUGGCGAACUGGAGUGUGGCAGAGGGGGGUGGAAUUCCGCGUGUAGCAGUGAAAUGCGUAGAGAUGCGGAGGAACACCGAUGGCGAAGGCAGCCCCCUGGGCUAACACUGACGCUCAGGCACGAAAGCGUGGGGAGCAAACAGG